AGAAAAAAUGGAGGUUGAAAAAAGCUAAUGCUGCUUGGACGAACUUCAAAUCCGAGCUCACAAGAAAUUGGAUCUGGACACCGCAAAUGGAAAUACGUACAGCUCCACCAAAGCAAUACAAUUUUAUCAAGCCAAAUGAUUGGAAAGAGUUUGUUCAAAGUCGACUUACAAAAGAAUGGGAGGGCUAGGGCGUAAGUACUUCAGGUAGCCAUCCCAAGGAACCUUUUUCAGGCCUGCUCUAGAUACCAAACAUCACAAACAACGGCCCAAGACGUCAUUAGCUGAAGCAGGAGAAGAGUGCAGCCGCAAAGAAGUCUGCAGGGGGACAUUUAUAUCAUCAAAAGCGUGCUCGUAGAGGA